rnacentral:rRNA from 1 species
AUUGAACGCUAGCGGGAUGCCUUACACAUGCAAGUCGAACGGAGUGGCGAACGGGUGAGUAAUGUAUCGGAACGUGCCCAGUAGCGGGGGAUAACUACGCGAAAGCGUAGCUAAUACCGCAUACUAUUGGAGCGGCCGCUAUCGGCUUAGCUAGUUGGUGGGGUAACGGCUCACCAAGGCGACGAUCCGUAGCUGGUUUGAGAGGACGACCCGCCACACUGGGACUGAGACACGGCCCAGACUCCUACGGGAGGCAGAAGUGGGGAAUUUUGGACAAUGGGGGAAAGCCGGAUCCAGCAAUCCCGGGUGUGCGAUGAAGGCCUUCGGGUUGUAAAGCACUGUUGGCAGGAAAGCGGUAUCUGAAGAAUAAGCACCGGCUAACUACGUGCCAGCAGCCGCGGUAAUUC